ACAAGCAAAUUGAUCGUGUACGAGUUAUUCAUAAUUAUAAUUAAGUAAAAAAUCCAUUUUAUCCAAUCCUAUAUCUUAAGGUAUUCUUCUAACGUUCAUCAUCUAGUCUACGUAUACUUGAAAGAGGUUGGGAUGGACCCAAAACAUGGGUGAGCUUGAGGUUUGAGAGGAUUGGUGGGAAGUCGGGUGUUCCUCAUGCCACACCCUGGUUUAUAUUUAUCAUUCUUGUCGGCAAAGCAUUCGUCCCCAUAAGACUUGGUCGAGUGAACUGUGGUGGACCUUAAGGGUAGGUCCUUGUUGGCCUUGGGCAGCCUCUAGUCAGCCUCAACCCAAUAAUGGUGUUUAUCCCUUUGUUGGGCUCGCUUUUAGGUAGAUUUCAGUGUCGUCUAGAUUUGGGUCAUUUUUAUUCACAACCCUUUUCCAAGUGGCCCCAUCCUUUUACAUUUCACGAUGCAUAGACCAAUUUUUUCUUUUUUAUAAAAAAAAAAA